CUCCAGUCAGAAUCCAGCUGAGCCUGUGAGAGAUACAGCCCAGGGUAACACACUCUCAAAACUAGUGUGUGUGUAUGGAUAUGUGUAUGUGUGUAUGUAUGUGUGAAGAUAGGUGGGUAUGUAUGUACUAAUGUAUGUGCAUGUGUGUUUGUUUGUGUUUGUUUGGAUGUGUGUGUGUGUUUGUGUGUGAAUGUGUGUGUGUGUGUGUGUGAAUGUGUGUGUGUGUGUGUGUGUGUGUGUGUGUUCUAGGUGCUGAAUUUUCUCCUUCAGAUCCUGAGACAGAUGACAGUCGUAGUGAGCUCCAGCUGCUGCAGUGUGAGUUGGCGGAGGUGAAACACGUCUGUCAGAAGCUCCGUGAUCAGAAUGCAGUGCUGAUGAGGGCUGUUGCCCAUGGCGAUGACCUCAACCUACAGCUCACCAUGGAGAUGACCGAGUUACGCACCAAACUGGCCAGUGCCCAGCUGGCGGCAGUGAGAGCGCAGUCCUUGGCUGAGGAGCUGGAUGAGGUGCGUCAGGCUCUGAGGGAGAGUCAGGACCAGGAGAGAGUCACCCAUGCCGCCAUCAGCUCUCUGGUACCCAGCACCUUUGCUGCUAAUUUAAACUAGCGCUGCUGCUAACUAUGCUAAUAUUAGCUACUGCUACAACUGACUCUGAUCAUUGCACCAGCACUGCUGCUAACUCUGCUCAUUGUAGCUAGCAGUGCUGCUAACUCUCAUUAUAGCUUGGACUACCUCUAUACUCUCUAUGCACAUUUCAGAUAGUGUCACAUGACGACUAAAUCUGGUAAUUUUAGCCACUUACUCACUUUAGCUAGAGCCACUGCUAACUCUACUAAA
rnacentral:lncRNA from 1 species